AUGUCUAUGCACCCUAUGUCGCUCUCCUUACAACCCUUCACUGCAAAUUCAAUAAACAAAUAUUCUUUAAGCACUAGUGCAAAUUAUGACCGUGGUUUUAUAAAGUUGGUGCCAAUUGGAAGAAGUAGUGGACAUUGGGCCACAAAUUUCAGACCAAAUUCUGUGUCUAGGCCUGAAACUUCUGUAGGACAUGAUUGUGUAGUGGGAGAGAAUGAUGGUGUGAUCAUAGUUGAUCACGGAUCACGUCGACAAGAAUCUAAUCUCAUGCUACAUGAUUUUUUUAGCAUGUUCAAGGCCAGGACUUGCUACAAGAUUGUUGGGCCUGCUCACAUGGAGCUGGCUGAGCCUACUAUUAAGGAAGCACUUGGAAAAUGUGUGCAGCAGGGAGCAUCUCGCGUUAUUGUCAGUCCAUAUUUCCUUUCCCCUGGGCGACACUGGAAGCAAGAUAUCCCUUCUUUAGCAUCAGAAGCCUCUAAAGAGCACUCAAGCGUACCCUACAUCAUCACGGCUCCUCUUGGAUUACAUGAGCUUAUGGUGGUAUGUGCUAAUUAA
rnacentral:rRNA from 1 species